CCAAAAGCUGGCGACCGGCGCACGGGUGAGUAACACGUAUCCAACCUGCCUCAUACUCGGGGAUAGCCUUUCGAAAGAAAGAUUAAUAUCCGAUAGCAUAUAUUUCCCGCAUGGGUUUUAUAUUAAAGAAAUUCGGUAUGAGAUGGGGAUGCGUUCCAUUAGUUUGUUGGGGGGAUAACGGCCCACCAAGACUACGAUGGAUAGGGGUUCUGAGAGGAAGGUCCCCCACAUUGGAACUGAGACACGGUCCAA
rnacentral:rRNA from 1 species